rnacentral:rRNA from 2 species
GACCCCAGGUCAGGCGGGAUUACCC